UGUCCAAUGCGGGAAUCGAACCCAGAUCGUAGUGGUCGAAAACCAAACGGUUUAACCAGCUUUCCAUCGAACCCCAAUUAAAC
rnacentral:tRNA from 1 species